rnacentral:rRNA from 1 species
UGGGGAAUAUUGGACAAUGGGCGCAAGCCUGAUCCAGCCAUGCCGCGUGAGUGAUGAAGGCCCUAGGGUUGUAAAGCUCUUUCGCCAGGGACGAUAAUGACGGUACCUGGAUAAGAAGCCCCGGCUAACUUCGUGCCAGCAGCCGCGGUAAUACGAAGGGGGCUAGCGUUGUUCGGAAUCACUGGGCGUAAAGCGCACGUAGGCGGAUCUUUAAGUCAGGGGUGAAAUCCCGAGGCUCAACCUCGGAACUGCCUUUGAUACUGGAGGUCUCGAGUCCGGGAGAGGUGAGUGGAACUGCGAGUGUAGAGGUGAAAUUCGUAGAUAUUCGCAAGAACACCAGUGGCGAAGGCGGCUCACUGGCCCGGUACCGACGCUGAGGUGCGAAAGCGUGGGGAGCAAAACAGGAUUAGAUACCCUGGUAGUCCACGCCGUAAACUAUGGAUGCUAGCCGUUGGGCAGCUUGCUGUUCGGUGGCGCAGCUAACGCUUUAAGCAUCCCGCCCUGGGGGAGUACGGUCGCAAGAUUAAAAACUCAAAUGAAUUGACGGGGGUC